rnacentral:rRNA from 1 species
GAUGAACGCUGGCGGCGUGCCUAAUACAUGCAAGUCGAGCGGCAGCGCGGAAAGUUUACUUUCUGGCGGCGAGCGGCGGACGGCUGAGUAACACGUAGGAACGUACCCCAAAGUGAGGGAUAACUGCUCGAAAGAGUAGCUAAUACCGCAUGUGAUCUAAGGAUUAAAGCUUCGGCGCUUUGGGAACGGCCUGCGUCUGAUUAGCUUGUUGGUGAGGUAAAAGCUCACCAAGGCGAUGAUCAGUAGCUGGUCUGAGAGGAUGAUCAGCCAGACUGGGACUGAGACACGGCCCAGACUCCUACGGGAGGCAGCAGUAGGGAAUUUUCCACAAUGGGCGAAAGCCUGAUGGAGCAACGCCGCGUGCAGGAUGAAUGCCUUAGGGUUGUAAACUGCUUUUAUAUGUGACGAAUAUGACGGUAGCAUAUGAAUAAGGAUCGGCUAACUACGUGCCAGCAGCCGCCGUAACAC